UACGUAGGGUGCGAGCGUUGUCCGGAAUUAUUGGGCGUAAAGAGCUCGUAGGCGGUUCGGCAAGUCGUAUGUGAAAUCUCCACGCUUAACGUGGAGGGGCCAUUCGAAACUGCUGUGACUCGAGUCCGGUAGGGGAGUGUGGAAUUCCCGGUGUAGCGGUGAAAUGCGCAGAUAUCGGGAGGAACACCAGUAGCGAAGGCGGCACUCUAGGCCGGUACUGACGCUGAGGAGCGAAAGCGUGGGGAGCGAACAGG
rnacentral:rRNA from 1 species